AGGUGGUUCCCCGCUCCGGCGGCGGCUCAACUCCAAUCUGCAGAACACCGGAUCUGCCAAGGGCAAGGCCCUCGUCCACGGAUCUGAAGGGGAAAAAUCAUUUUCUUCGUUGUUUCGUCACAGAACUGAGCAAUGUUGAUGGUCAAGUGUGCCGUGGCGGCGAGGCCACAUUCCUUGCCGGAAACGCUGGUUCGGGAGCUACAAGUGGCUGGACAAGAAGAAUCAUGCUGAUAUGGUCUGUAUCAUGAACCCUGAAGUAGAAGGCUGCAUUUUCCUACUGUUGUGAUCUUGUAAUAUUGCCUUCUGGCCAAAUCAGCAAAAUCCCUGGUUGAAGCUGCGCAAGCUCUGUUUCUUUGGCUGUUGUUCCCUCUCAGCAAUCCAUUCGACUCGGGUAUAUGUUUGUAAUUAUUGUAAUGGAUUUGUACCAUUUGUGAACCAUGUCAAAUUGUUAAGGUGGGUGAUGGGUAUUACAACUAUGUAUGCAUGGUUGCUAGUUCUGUGCGUAGAACUUGAUCUGUGUAUUAGUCAAAACCGACACAUGUUGUGUGUUAGCUUAACAGGAAGAAACUGCAAUUGUCAAUGAGAGCAAUAUGUCGAGAAGGGA